rnacentral:rRNA from 1 species
UCUAGAGAUUACUCCUACGGGAGGCAGCAGUGGGGAAUAUUGCACAAUGGGGGAAACCCUGAUGCAGCCAUGCCGCGUGUGUGAAGAAGGCCUUCGGGUUGUAAAGCACUUUCAGCGAGGAGGAAAGGUCAGUAGCUAAUAUCUGCUGGCUGUGACGUUACUCGCAGAAGAAGCACCGGCUAACUCCGUGCCAGCAGCCGCGGUAAUAAUCGUCGAC